rnacentral:rRNA from 1 species
GUGGGGAAUAUUGGACAAUGGGCGAAAGCCUGAUCCAGCAAUGCCGCGUGAGUGAUGAAGGCCUUAGGGUUGUAAAGCUCUUUUACCAGGGAUGAUAAUGACAGUACCUGGAGAAUAAGCUCCGGCUAACUCCGUGCCAGCAGCCGCGGUAAUACGGAGGGAGCUAGCGUUGUUCGGAAUUACUGGGCGUAAAGCGCACGUAGGCGGUUACUCAAGUCAGAGGUGAAAGCCCGGGGCUCAACCCCGGAACUGCCUUUGAAACUAGGUAGCUAGAAUCUUGGAGAGGUCAGUGGAAUUCCGAGUGUAGAGGUGAAAUUCGUAGAUAUUCGGAAGAACACCAGUGGCGAAGGCGACUCACUGGCCCAAUACUGACGCUGAGGCGCGAAAGCGUGGGGAGCAAACAGGAUUAGAUACCCUGGUAGUCC